rnacentral:rRNA from 1 species
UAGAGUUUGAUCAUGGCUCAGAUUGAACGCUGGCGGCAGGCCUAACACAUGCAAGUCGAGCGGCAGCGGGAAAGUAGCUUGCUACUUUUGCCGGCGAGCGGCGGACGGGUGAGUAAUGCCUGGGGAUCUGCCCAGUCGAGGGGGAUAACAGUUGGAAACGACUGCUAAUACCGCAUACGCCCUACGGGGGAAAGGAGGGGACCUUCGGGCCUUUCGCGAUUGGAUGAACCCAGGUGGGAUUAGCUAGUUGGUGGGGUAAUGGCUCACCAAGGCGACGAUCCCUAGCUGGUCUGAGAGGAUGAUCAGCCACACUGGAACUGAGACACGGUCCAGACUCCUACGGGAGGCAGCAGUGGGGAAUAUUGCACAAUGGGGGAAACCCUGAUGCAGCCAUGCCGCGUGUGUGAAGAAGGCCUUCGGGUUGUAAAGCACUUUCAGCGAGGAGGAAAGGUUGGCGCUCUAAUACGUGUCAACUGUGACGUA